UACGUAGGGUCCGAGCGUUGUCCGGAAUUAUUGGGCGUAAAGGGCUCGUAGGCGGUCUGUCGCGUCGGGAGUGAAAUCUUACAGCUUAACUGUGAACUUGCUUUCGAUACGGGCAGACUUGAGGCAUUCAGGGGAGAACGGAAUUCCUGGUGUAGCGGUGAAAUGCGCAGAUAUCAGGAGGAACACCGAUGGCGAAGGCAGGUCUCUGGGCAUUAACUGACGCUGAGGAGCGAAAGCCAGGGGAGCAAACGGG
rnacentral:rRNA from 1 species